rnacentral:tRNA from 1 species
CUUAAAAUAGUUUAUUUUAAAAUACAAAUUUUGGGGAUUUGAGAAUGUUUAGUUUUACAUUUUUUGA